rnacentral:tRNA from 1 species
GCCGACUUAGUAUAUAGGAGUACCCUGGGUUGUAAGUUCAGUAGAGAGAGUAUCAGUCGGAG